rnacentral:rRNA from 1 species
GGCGAACGGGUGAGUAACACGUGAGUAACCUGCCCCGGACUUUGGGAUAACGACUCGAAAGGGUUGCUAAUACCGGAUAUUAAAUUGCUGCCGCAUGGUGGUGGUUUGAAAGAUUUUUUGGUUCGGGAUGGGCUCGCGGCCUAUCAGCUUGUUGGUGGGGUGAUGGCCUACCAAGGCGUCGACGGGUAGCCGGCCUGAGAGGGCGACCGGCCACACUGGGACUGAGAUACGGCCCAGACUCCUACGGGAGGCAGCAGUGGGGAAUAUAGCACAAUGGGCGGAAGCCUGAUGCAGCAACGCCGCGUGCGGGAUGAAGGCCUUCGAGUUGUAAACCGCUUUCAGCUAUGACGAAUGUGACGGUAGUAGCAGAAGAAGCACCGGCUAACUACGUGCCAGCAGCCGCGGUGAUACGUAGGGUGCGAGCGUUGUCCGGAUUUAUUGGGCGUAAAGAGCUCGUAGGUGGUUGUUUGCGUCGGAAGUGAAAACCUAGCGCUUAACGGUGGGCUUGCUUUCGAUACGGGAUGACUUGAGGGAGGUAGGGGAGAACGGAAUUCCUGGUGGAGCGGUGGAAUGCGCAGAUAUCAGGAGGAACACCGGUGGCGAAGGCGGUUCUCUGGACCUUUCCUGACGCUGAGGAGCGAAAGCGUGGGGAGCAAACAGGCUUAGAUACCCUGGUAGUCCACGCUGUAAACGGUGGGCACUAGGUGUGGGGGACAUUCCACGUUCUCCGUGCCGUAGCUAACGCAUUAAGUGCCCCGCCUGGGGAGUACGGGCCGCAAGGCUAAAACUCAAAGGAAUUGA